UGCCAAGCAACUCCUACCUCCUCGUGGUACUGGCCGGGGUACGAGUAACCUUGGGGAAGAUCGGGUAACCAACCCCCGGUGGGAAAUUUGGUCGUAUGCUGACAGGGAAGG
rnacentral:ribozyme from 1 species